rnacentral:rRNA from 1 species
UAGUAACGGCGAGUGAAGAGGGAAAAGCCCAGCACCGAAGCCUGCGGCAGUUUUGCUGUUAGGCAAUGUGGUGUAUAGGUCGGCUAGCGGGAUCGCUACUCCACUCGAAGUCCAGCAUUGAGUAUGGUCACUGGAUUUGGCCCAUAGAGGGUGAAAGGCCCGUACGGGUGGAGGUGCAGAAAUGUAAAGCGAUUCACCAGGCCGGCCUUAGAGUCGGGUUGUUUGAGAAUGCAGCCCAAAGAGGGUGGUAAACUCCAUCCAAGGCUAAAUACUGACACGAGUCCGAUAGCGAACAAGUACCGUGAGGGAAAGUUGAAAAGUACUCUGAAGAGAGAGUAAACAGUACGUGAAGCCGCAUGCAGGUAAACGGGUGGCGUCAAGCUGCUAUCCUGGAGAAUUCAGCUGGUUAGGGUGUCGACGCGCCUGCGCGUCCAGCAGCCAGAAUAAGAUGUAUCAGUCUACUGGGACACAGUGGGCCUGACCUUCGGGUUGGGUAUGCGUACCGAGCGGUUGCCGGACAUACUGUUCAUCUGUUGGGCUGUCUAGCCAGUGCACUUUCUCUAUGGUGAACACCACGACCGGUGGAAUUGCCAGUCUGCUGUGGUCAAGUCGUGUCCGGUAGGUCCUCGUGACUGGCUGGAUGCGAUCACAGGCAAUUUCAGCUAACGGCGUAGAGGUGCCUCGGUACUUCUGCGUGUUAUCGGCGGCUGGUUGUCGACGGACUGCCAUUGAUGACGGUUGCAACUGUUGUCUGGUGGUUCGGUGGGCCAUGGUGGUAUGAAUAACUGUGCAAGGCAUCGGGGUUAACGGCUUCAAUCGCAGUCAGCGCCCACUUGCAAGUGGUAGGGGUGCCGUUGCGGCCUGCCUGUGGCAGAGUCUGAUUGUCGUGUCGCCUGCGCAAAGUGGGCCCGGCAGUGGCUUAGCCUAGGUUGGGUAGCGUAUGGUGCCUCGUGUGUUGAUUGCCGUGGGCCUAAUAGUCAGUGGUGCUGUGGUAGACGAGCUACCCGACCCGUCUUGAAACACGGACCAAGGAGUUUAACAUGUAUGCGAGUCACUGGGUCCUACGAAACCCAAAGGCGCAAUGAAAGUAAAGCUUCGACUUGUCUCGGAGUGAGGUGAGAUCCUGCUGUUUCGCAUCAGCCGUUGUGUCAGCAUCAGGCUAAGAGCAGUGGGCGCAUCACCGGCCCGCCCCAUGGUGUGGAUAAUGGAAGUCUGCGGUCGUUGCUUGCAGCGGCUGAGGUGCC